rnacentral:lncRNA from 1 species
UCUUUUUUUCUGUUUUUUUAAAUCCAGCAAUUUUCACAGCAAAUAUAUGACAUAUAUAUAUGUAUUUCACAGGGCUAUUUAACAGCAAACAUAUGACAUAUCCAGCACAUAAGUUUCAUCGUGCAUACAUAUAUAGUUCCAUCCAUUCAUACAUAGCUAGUUGCACAUACACAUUGUUCCAUCCAUACAUAUUACAAUGCAAAGUUUCAACAAGAUAGCAAGUUCCAUCAUAGCAAGCUAGAAGAAUACUAGAGGAGAAUGAAAGAAAAAACAAGCACUCCAUCAUAGCAAGCUAGCUUCCGUGAAGUGAAUGAAAUCUGCAAAAAGUCAAAUAAGAAAGUUAGAAAAAGGUGACUAGAAGAAGAAGUAUAUGCCAUUUAUGAGCUAACUUAGGUGAAAUGGAUCAUUUAUGAGCUAACUUAGUUGAAAUGGAUCGUUUAUGAGCUAACCUAGGUGAAAUAGAUCAUUUAUGAGCUAACUU